CCAUGUAGCGGCGGUGGAUUCCGCCCUUAACCGUCACCCGUUACAAUGCGUGACCAAUGACUCCUGCGGGUAU
rnacentral:ncRNA from 30 species